GCCCAAAAUGAGUCACCUUCUCCUCAGUAUCAUGCCACAGGUGUGCACAGUUCUCUUACAAGUAGAGAGGCAAGAUCCCUGCUGAAUGAGUUUUUCCUGUCAAAGAUGGUUUGACUAAAAUUUAUGAUUUUUUUUGUUGGAGACAGAUAAUUUGGGCACACUGAGGACUUCAGCUUGAAUAUAAAUGCCUGGUAGGAAGCUAGCUCUCCUUCAAAGACUCCUAGAGCGUCUCAUUUUCUUUUGACAUGGCUUAUGAACCAUGUUCUCAUUUACUCCCAUCACAUUGCUCCCCAUAAGCUUGAUUUUCUCUGGGGUUUUAUAAGUAAAGUGAAUUUGAGGAGGUAGACUGGAAGGAUGAUGAGGAAGGGAAGGUACUGAAAGAAAACGCACAGGAGCAGUGGGAGCAGGAGAGAGCAGGUCUGUGAGUGAAUGGAGGAAAGAGAGUAGAUGAGGGUAAGCGAGGGACAGGAAGAAAAUGGAAGAAGAAAAUAAGUGAAAAAGGGAGAAAAGGGAAAAAUAAACUGAAAGAGCAGAGGAGAAGAAAUCACAAGAAGAAUGAGUGGAACUGCUGAAGACAUAUGAGACUUGCAGACUUGGACAUGGAGCCUUUCCAAGGAGGUUUCCAGAGAAAAGAGCAGAGCGACCCCGAUCCCUGUGCUGUGAACACCAAGCCUUUGCUAUCAUCCCAUCAGUCAGAAGCUAGGUAAUCAUGAUUUAAAGCCAAUUAAAAGGUUAUAAUCCUAAAAGGGAUCCACUUUGGCUUUUCUGUCUUCCUUCUGACCAGGUCUGGGGCAUCCACAACACGGGUCCGUGAAGGGAAGGUGCGCUCCCCCAAGAUGUCCUCCCCAUUACCUACAGGCUUCCACCUCCACGUAUUUACUACCUACGUGCUCCUCUACCACAGGAAGAGGCAGUCCCUUAGGAAGCACAAAUCUAAAUAAAGAAGCUUCUCCGAACCGAAGGAGGUCAGGAAAGCACAUCCCAGGCCGCGCUCCUUCCUGGCAGCACCGGUGACGAGCCGCAGCAUUGUCUUUUUCUCGUUUGGCUUAAAAACUCGAGUGACUUAAUCCCCGGUCAGUAAAAAAAAAAAAACCUUGAUGGAGAUAGGUCCGUGCUGUUACCAAGCCAGACAUCUGUCGGUGCAAUAGAAGGGCAGGGAGGGACCGGUGACCUCCUUUGGGCCUGCUUCCCCCGUACGGCAAGGCCAGGCUUUAAUCGGGGAUGGCACGAAGCCCAGCAUGGGGUGGGGAGAGCAGAAGGGGGGAAAUCUUCGUGGUUCCUCGGCUGCAGCCCUCCCCCAGAAACCCUGCAGCACACAGGAGGAAGCUGACAGAUAACGAGGACAUUAAUUAGCCAAUUGGUAAAGGGAGGGUUCCUUUAAAGCGGGCCUUUAGAGACCAUGGCCUUACUGAAAAGCCUUAAAAAGAGGCACAGUUCCUAAACCAGGUUGGUUGGUACACUGUGAAACCCUUGGGAGCAGUAAUUUUUCACCUGUAUUUAACUAGCCAAACUCACCACCCCUCAGAAGUAUCUGGGAGUUGGCCAGAAAUACCUGUUUGCAGAGGAAAAUGAGGACUUGGCAGUGACAGAAGGGCAACUCUGAGAUGGGCUGGCCCCAUUUGCAUUUCCCAGCUGCGGACACGGCCCUCAGCAGCCACGUUCCUGUCCCUUUUCUUUGUGGGUCACACAGACGUGAUAAUUAGCAGAGUCCUAAAUCCCUCCCAGCCACAGGAUCCCCAAAUUACCCUAGCAGGAGUGGAGAGAAAGGUUAUAAACACAUGGCAUGGACAUCGCCCCCCCGGGGAACCACCUUCCACAUCUUUUGCCCCUUUGAGGUGUGACCAAAUGACCCUAAGCAGUGCCAGCCCUGCACAACACAAGGUCUCUGAAGGAAAAUCUCAAAACAACAGUGUCUGGAGAACUGUUCUGCCAACAGCAGGCUUGAUGCCUUUUCUCCCAGUGGUUGGAAAUCCAGGGAGCUGCUUUGUGGGCUUGGAGGCCUUCCCCCAGCUCGUUUUUGCUCUCAUGUUGGAGGAUUCAGGUCAGCGCGGUCACAAGCUCAUGAUAGAUCUUGACUGCCCUCGAUUCAGUGCACCGGCUUCUCACUCAAGGCAGCCUCUCGUAGGGAGCUCUCUGCUACAGAAAUGAAGCCUGCUCAGCUUCCUCAUAACCAAAUAAAGGCUUCUGUGAGGCAUCCCCACAGCUAUUAGAAAUCCAGGCUACUGCAAACAAAAAGAAGCAAAACUUGGAGAGAAGCAGAAGCCAGCCAAAAAAAAAAAAAAAAAAAAAAAAAAGAUUGGAUAAGUGCCUGGAAAAGGGUAAGGACUCUCCAAAUGAACUGGUGAGGCAAAGCUGAGUGGUAACGGGGUGCUCGGCCUUUCACAGCAGGGGAAUUCAGCGUACAGAGGGCCAGACCUCACCUCGGCAGGCUCCAGCCUCAGCGACUCCACAUACGCAAGUGAAACACUCAAGGGAGAUGAUCUGCAUUUCGCAUGCCCUGAAUCGGGUGUCCAAAUGACAAGAUAACUGGGACUAAGGAAAUGCAGGUGCAGAAGCUGGAGGCAUGCACUAGGGCCCAAGCACACGGCAGCAGCUGCAGCGAGAGGAGAGCAGGGAGUGCCUGGGAAGCGAGCCGGCUGUGCAGGGGAAGGCAGGCACUUGAACCCGUGACAAAUUUAGCCCCUGUUCAUUCAGGACUACAUUUUCCACUGGUAAUGCCAGUCCCUGAUUAGGCUUCACAUACAUCAUGUGUUUGUUGCUUUUUUUUUUUUUUUUCCUCAAGUCAGGGCUGUUUGUGUCACAGCCUGUGCUAUCUAAGCCUCUUCUACAGGAGAUGCAGGCUGAGAGAUGACACAAGAUGACGUUGGGACUGCUAGCAGCAGGCUGCCCAAGGCUCUGAGAAGGGGCUGGGAGCUCCUACGCAGCAGGAGCAGGAGCCUGACCUCAGGGCCCGGUGAUCUGUAAAAUGGCUGUUUAUGCUGGACAGCUUCGUGAUGUCGUAACACCAGAAAUCCCACCUCAAAAAUGCAGAGAGACAGAACUGAAGACCAGAUUUCUACCCAUAAUAACAAGAAUGGAAUGGAAAUGGACUCUAAAAAAAAAAAAAAGCAAAAAAAUAAAAAGA